rnacentral:snRNA from 1 species
AUGCUCGCUUCGGCAGCACAUACACUAAAAUUGGAACGAUACAGAGAAGAUUAGCGUGGCCCCUGCGCGAGGAUGACACGCAAGUUCGUGAAGCGUUCCGUAUUUUU